GAUUAUCUCGGUAAAUCAGUUUCUUAAACCUCUAAUAGCAGAUUAUCUCGGAUCUAGGGAGAACCCGCUUAGGAUUGAGUUGCUUUGUGGAAGUAUUUCUGAUUUGGAUUCAAGGCUACGAGAUAUUGAAGCCG